rnacentral:rRNA from 3 species
UGAAUUAAAAGGUCGAGUCUGACGGAGCACGCCGCGUGAGUGAUGAAGGUUUUCGGAUCGUAAAGCUCUGUUGUUAGGGAAGAACAAGUGCGAGAGUAACUGCUCGCACCUUGACGGUACCUAACCAGAAAGCCACGGCUAACUACGUGCCAGCAGCCGCGGUAAUACGUAGGUGGCAAGCGUUGUCCGGAAUUAUUGGGCGUAAAGGGCUCGCAGGCGGUUUCUUAAGUCUGAUGUGAAAGCCCCCGGCUCAACCGGGGAGGGUCAUUGGAAACUGGGAAACUUGAGUGCAGAAGAGGAGAGUGGAAUUCCACGUGUAGCGGUGAAAUGCGUAGAGAUGUGGAGGAACACCAGUGGCGAAGGCGACUCUCUGGUCUGUAACUGACGCUGAGGAGCGAAAGCGUGGGGAGCGAACAGGAUUAGAUACCCUGGUAGUCCACGCCGUAAACGAUGAGUGCUAAGUGUUAGGGGGUUUCCGCCCCUUAGUGCUGCAGCUAACGCAUUAAGCACUCCGCCUGGGGAGUACGGUCGCAAGACUGAAACUCAAAGGAAUUGACGG